UGGGGAAUAUUGGACAAUGGGGGCAACCCUGAUCCAGCAAUGCCGCGUGUGUGAAGAAGGCCUGCGGGUUGUAAAGCACUUUCAGUGGGGAAGAAAAGCUCGGGACUAAUACUCCCGGGUCUUGACGUUACCCAAAGAAGAAGCACCGGCUAACUCCGUGCCAGCAGCCGCGGUAAUACGGAGGGUGCGAGCGUUAAUCGGAAUUACUGGGCGUAAAGCGCACGUAGGUGGUUGGGUAAGUCGGAUGUGAAAGCCCUGGGCUUAACCUGGGAACUGCAUUCGAUACUGCCCGGCUAGAGUAUGGGAGAGGGAAGCGGAAUUUCCGGUGUAGCGGUGAAAUGCGUAGAUAUCGGAAGGAACACCAAUGGCGAAGGCAGCUUCCUGGCCCAAUACUGACGCUCAGGUGCGAAAGCGUGGGGAUCAAACAGGAUUAGAUACCCCCGUAGUCC
rnacentral:rRNA from 1 species